UCGUCCAUGGCCAAACUGGUCACGGCAUUGCCGAUUAUAGGCAAAGAUGCGGGUUCGAGUCCCACUGGAAGGG
rnacentral:tRNA from 1 species